rnacentral:rRNA from 1 species
GAUGAACGCUGACAGAAUGCUUAACACAUGCAAGUCUUUGGCGAAGCUGUGCUUGCACAGCCUAGCCAAGGCGGACGGGUGAGUAACGCGUCAGGAACUUGCCCUGCAGUCAGGGAUAACAGACGGAAACGACUGAUAAGACCUGGUAAAGUCAGGCGGACUCAUGUCCAGCCUGAUGAAAAGAGAUGCUGCAGGGGAGCCUUGCGUCCUAUUAGCUUGUUGGUGGGGUAACGGCCCACCAAGGCGAUGAUAGGUAGCCGGCCUGAGGGGGUGGACGGCCACAAGGGGACGGAGAUACGGCCCUUACUCCUACGGGAGGCAGCAGUGGGGAAUAGUGGAAAAGGGGGGCAACCCUGAUACAGCAAUUCUGUGUGCACGAUGAAGGUUUUCGGAUUGUAAAGUGCUUGCAGCAGGGAAGAAAAAAAUGACGGUACCUGCAGAAGAAGCGACGGCUAAAUACGUG